CCUACGGGAGGCAGCAGUGGGGAAUAUUGCACAAUGGGGGAAACCCUGAUGCAGCGACGCCGCGUGAGUGAAGAAGUAAUUCGUUAUGUAAAGCUCUAUCAGCAGGGAAGAAAAUGACGGUACCUGAGUAAGAAGCCCCGGCUAACUACGUGCCAGCAGCCGCGGUAAUACGUAGGGGGCAAGCGUUAUCCGGAUUUACUGGGUGUAAAGGGAGCGUAGACGGCAGUGCAAGUCUGGAGUGAAAGGCGGGGGCUCAACCCCCGGACUGCUCUGGAAACUGUACGGCUUGAGUGCAGGAGGGGUAAGUGGAAUUCCUAGUGGAGCGGUGAAAUGCGUAGAUAUUAGGAGGAACACCAGUGGCGAAGGCGGCUUACUGGACUGUAACUGACGUUGAGGCUCGAAAGCGUGGGGAGCAAACAGGAUUAGAUACCCCUGUAGUC
rnacentral:rRNA from 1 species